AUAGUGAAGGCAGACCACAGGCUGGCAAAUGGAAAUGCAUGAUGCUUCCUAAAGCCUAGGCUCAGACCUGGCAACUAUCAAUUCCACUUUCCUCAUCUUAUAAAAUUCUGGUUCUCAAUGACACCAGCAUCAUUACUGAUUUGCUUUCUACUCACACACAAAUAGCCUCCAAAUAAGAAUGCCAACACUAUCACCAAAAAG
rnacentral:lncRNA from 1 species